rnacentral:rRNA from 1 species
UACGUAGGGUCCGAGCGUUGUCCGGAAUUAUUGGGCGUAAAGCGUGCGCAGGCGGUUUUGUAAGCCAGAUGUGAAAGCCCCGGGCUUAACCUGGGAAUGGCAUUUGGGACUGCAAGGCUUGAGUGCGGCAGAGGAGACUGGAAUUCCUGGUGUAGCAGUGAAAUGCGUAGAUAUCAGGAGGAAUACCGAUGGCGAAGGCAGGUCUCUGGGCUGACACUGACGCUGAGGAGCGAAAGCAUGGGGAGCGAACAGGG